GACGAACGCUGGCGGCGUGCUUAACACAUGCAAGUCGAACGGAAAGGCCCUGCUUUUGUGGGGUGCUCGAGUGGCGAACGGGUGAGUAACACGUGAGUAACCUGCCCUUGACUUUGGGAUAACUUCAGGAAACUGGGGCUAAUACCGGAUAGGAGCUCCUGCUGCAUGGUGGGGGUUGGAAAGUUUCGGCGGUUGGGGAUGGACUCGCGGCUUACCGGCUUGUUUGUGGGGUAGUGGCUUACCAAGGCUUUGACGGGUAGCCGGCCUGGGAGGGUGACCGGGCACCUGGGGCCUAAGGUAGGCCGCAGAAGCGAACGGGCGGCAGCGGGGGGAAGUCUGGCAGAGUGGCGGGGCGCCUGUGACGGAAGCCCCCGGAGCGGAAUACUGGGUUACGGGUUAAAAACCAAUGUCGAAGUAACCAAGCAGGGCGUGACGGUAAUGGAUAAGAAAGCCACGGCUAACUACGUG
rnacentral:rRNA from 1 species